GGGCACGUAGCUCAGCUUGGCAGAGCGUCGGUCUUAUACACCGCAGGUCGGGGGUUCAAAUCCUCCCGUGCCCA
rnacentral:tRNA from 1 species